CUAGGCCCAUUUCCUUCUCAGGAAACAGUAGUGCCGCUGCAAGAGGGAUUAUUCACAAUGAUCGGGGUGCUUUUGUCAAAACUUUUGCGAUCAACCUUGGGAGCGGCUCGAUUACACGCGUGGAGAUGAGAGGGAUUGUUCGAGGGGUUGGAGUUGGCAUGGUCGCUCGGUAUUCGACGGAAUCGAAUGCAAUCCGGUUCUAAUGCAGCCAUUGCUAUCCUCUCACAGGUCUCAUCUUUCAACCAUCAACAUGCUAUUUUUGUUCUACAAUUUUAGGAACUUUGUAGUCGACAAUGGGAAGUCGACAUCUCCCAUAUUUACCGCGAAGCGAAUUACAUAGCGGA
rnacentral:lncRNA from 1 species